UACGAGUUCCGGGUUCGAGUCCCGGGCAACCCA
rnacentral:tRNA from 2 species